UACGGAGGAUCCGAGCGUUAUCCGGAUUUAUUGGGUUUAAAGGGUGCGUAGGCGGCCUGUUAAGUCAGGGGUGAAAGACGGUAGCUCAACUAUCGCAGUGCCCUUGAUACUGAUGGGCUAGAAUGUACUAGAGGCAGGCGGAAUGUGACAAGUAGCGGUGAAAAUGCAUAGAUAUGUCACAGAACACCAAAUUGCGAAGGCAGCUUGCUAUGGUAUAAUUGACGCUGAGGCACGAAAAGCGUGGGGGAUCAAAACAGG
rnacentral:rRNA from 1 species